rnacentral:lncRNA from 1 species
GAGCCGUCAUUCUGACUCGAAGUUUAUACGGAAAGUACACAUUUAUGUUAGUUCAAUACGUCGCUUUUAUGAAACGUUGUCGAAAUAAAAUCGUUAUGCCAUGCAGAGGGAAAGGUCAGUAUCAAAUUAAGCUAUUUUUUAAACGUUUUUGAGUUGUUCUUGUUAAGCUAUUGCUGUUUUUAAAACACGUGUCUACAUUCAUUGUAGUAACAUAUUCAAUUUGAUUCGCAUUCAAGCGCUCAGUCGCUUGAUUUUCUCAGUUUUUCUCCCUAAUUUCCCAGCAGUAAUGUUCAGAAAUACACCAGCUUUGAUUCGUUUAACUCAUAUUUAAUUUAUCUGCAAUUUCAGGCCGAAAAUGUGAAGAGAAAGUGAAUUGAUUUAAGUCGCCGACAUGGUCGAAUGCCAAAGCACUUGGUAAGCAUAAUGCCGUCCAUUAAAGGCGUUUCCUUCUUGUUUGUUUCUCGUUUUUAAGCUUCCCCAAUACACCUAGAACGUCUUCUAGCAUUGCUUUGUAGUCUUAUGAACACUCUGAGUCAAGUUUAGUUACAAUAUUGGUGAAACUUUUGUCUAUACCGAGCGAAUUGCCGACUUAUUUUAGUCAUGUUCAGUUUCACAUGCAGGCGUAUUAUAUAAUUUUCGUACAUUUUAGCUUUCACAAACCAGUCGUUUAUGUACAAAUUGUUCUUUGAGAGGGAAGGCUAAGCUUUUUGAGUUUCUUGAGGUUGUCUAAGUUGAAUUUCGUCCAAUAUUUUUACGAAAUUGAGAGAUGAAAUGUCCUCGUGGUUCAUGCCCUAAUUUUAUGCAUAGAUGAACGUAUUCUUAAAAAUUAAAAUGUUGAAUUCGAUAACGACAUAGGCUUGUUAAGUGGGCGAGUGGCGAGAACACAACGGCUGGAAUCUGAGCCUAAUAACGACAUUGAAUAACUCUUCGUUGUUUAAAAUUCAUUGUCCAAUUUUUUAGACUGCCUCAAAGUCGAUCAUUUUAAUGGCAAACAGCCACAGAAAGAUCUCUGCACAGAUUUGGAGAGGCGCUCGCCUAGCAGUCGAAGCAAAACGAGAAAGACAAGAAGGCAAAGGACAGAUGAGAACAGCCACCAGCUCGAUUCCUUUGCGAACCCACAGCAUUCAUUGUCAGAUUUCGUUUGUGCAAAGUUCGGAAGAUUGCCACUCAUCCAGGGACAGUAACGAAGGCAGAUUUCGUUCGAUCAGCCAAUCGUUCAACCUGCCAAGCGAUAGUCGACGCCAUGUACCAUCCAGAUACCAUAACCAAUACGCCAUACCAUUGUGGAAGAUGUAAUUGUACAAUGUACAUUACAGAAGGUAUAUUUUCCUCGUGAUUCUCGUUGUGCGUGUUCGAAAGUACGUAGGGGGCCAGCCUGAAGACGCCCAAAUGCACAAAACAAAUUUAAAUAUGGCACAUUUUCCUUAAUUUCGCUAUUUAUUCAAAUUUUCUACAUUUCUUGGUAUUUGUGAAAAGCCUUUAACGAAAUCAAAAUGUUUGAAAUUCGGAAGUUUCUAUCUGGGAGUUUGUUUAUUUGAAAGAUAUUUGAAAUGAAAUUUUGAAGUUUACAUCACUUUGGUAUUUGGUUUAAAUGCUAGGUAAAAUCAUGCCAGAGGAGUGGUCGACCAUUCGUCGAAGUUCGGUGAUCGUCGGCUCGGACUUUCCCGACCUACAGUUGAGUUGCUCUGAUCGAUUGUCAUGCAUGAUCAACUAGCGCAAAUGUAAGGUCUGGCCAACCUUGCGUUUGUGCUUUUUGUUCGUGGCAUGAGAUUGGGACAGCUCGCCUGUAGGCCUGGAAAGAGCAAGCCGAAGUACCACCAAACAUUGAUUUGUGGCCGACUUUUUGUCUGUAUGGCUUUAUCCAGCAUUUUUCCGUUAUCACUUUGAUGCAGACUUUGGGGUUUUUGGCUUGAAUAUCUUU